rnacentral:tRNA from 1 species
UGGAUAGCUCAAUUGGUAGAGCAGCAGAUUUGUAAUCUAUUAGUCGCGGGUUCGAAUCCCGCUCCAU